rnacentral:misc_RNA from 1 species
AACGCAUAUUGCACUCUCUGGUAUUCCGGAGAGUAUGCCUGUUUCAGUAUCAGUAAACACCAUCAAACAUUUGUUUGGAUUUGAGCGUUGCCGAGAAAAAACUUAGCCCUUUUUUCGGCCUGCUCGAAAUGCAAGUACACAGGACAAGGAUCCCCAGACCACUCCGAGGUGUGAAUUAAAAAAAAAAAGCGUCGUAGUUGACUUGACAGUCUUCCUUUCGCUGAAAAUGAACACCCCGGUUUUUUUUGGGACCUUUUGCUGUGCAAAUUCGCAGGAAGAAAAAAGGAACACAAUUCCUUUGUUCACUUCUUGAUCUGAAAUCAGGUAGGACUACCCGCUGAACUUAA